rnacentral:rRNA from 1 species
AACGAACGCUGGCGGCAUGCCUAACACAUGCAAGUCGAGCGCCCGUAGCAAUACGGGAGCGGCGCACGGGUGAGUAGCGCGUGGGAACCUGCCCAGAGGUUCGGGACAACCGCGGGAAACUGCGGCUGAUACCGGAUGAUGCCUGAGGGCCAAAGAUUUAUCGCCUUUGGAGGGGCCCGCGUCGGAUUAGGUAGUUGGUGAGGUAACGGCUCACCAAGCCUGUGAUCCGAGCUGGUCUGAGAGGAUGAUCAGCCACACUGGGACUGAGACACGGCCCAGACUCCUACGGGAGGCAGCAGUGGGGAGUAUUGGACAAUGGGGGCAACCCUGAUCCAGCAAUGCCGCGUGGGUGAUGAAGGCCUGGUUGUAAG